rnacentral:rRNA from 1 species
GAUGAAUGCUGGCGGCGUGCCUAACACAUGCAAGUCGAGCGGUAACGGGCCUUCGGGUGCCGACGAGCGGCGGACGGCUGAGUAACGCGUGGGAACAUACCCCAAAGUGAGGGAUAACCGCCCGAAAGGGUGGCUAAUACCGCAUAUGGUCUUCGGAUUAAAGGAUUUAUCCGCUUUGGGAAUGGCCUGCGUACGAUUAGAUAGUUGGUGAGGUAAUGGCUCACCAAGUCGACGAUCGUUAACUGGUUUGAGAGGAUGAUCAGUCAGACUGGAACUGAGACACGGUCCAGACUCCUACGGGAGGCAGCAGUGAGGAAUCUUCCACAAUGGGCGAAAGCCUGAUGGAGCAACGCCGCGUGCAGGAUGAAGGCCUUCGGGUUGUAAACUGCUUUUAUAAGUGAAGAAUAUGACGGUAACUUAUGAAUAAGCACCGGCUAACUACGUGCCAGCAGCCGCCGUAA